GGUUUGCGUGAGGGAUAGCAGCGGCAUCCUUUUGUGAAUCUCGUUUUUUUAACGAGAUUCACAAAAGAUAUAGCGAAUAGCCCGACGGCUU
rnacentral:sRNA from 1 species